rnacentral:lncRNA from 1 species
UUAAUUCUAUCAAACGAAAUGCUCAUUAUUUUUUCAAUUAUAAAAAAACAUUUUAAACCAAAAUUGAGUGUACUUAAAUCAAUAUUACCAUUUUAUUAUUUAACUGUAUUUUAACAAAUCCGUGCAACACACGGGUUGAAUUCCUAGUUGUGUCAUAAAAAGUCACUUCAUUUGUAUAAUCCUUGGUCAAAAAGAAUAAUCUCCCUCCUUUACCGUAAGGCGUGUGUUCAUAUGGGAAAGGGGAAUCGUUUUCCACCAUGAGAAAGUUUUUUUAAACCACUAGAUUAAAAGGGAACAUUAAUCUUACCAUAGACUGUCUGCAUUAUAUUUUUUUCUCAUUGUCUUCAACCUCACCAAUAGACCCACCACCACCACCUCCUCCAAGAGCCACCCCUAAACAAAUGAUUUCAGCCUAAAUCUUAUAUGCCUGUCACUUAACAGCACCGCUGCACUUUUUCUUGCCCACAUUUCUUGUUCUUCUUCCUUCAAUUAUGUGUUUGUUGUCUCAUCUACAAAAAAAAAAAAAAAAAAAAAAACACCAAUUAUCCCCUUCAGAAGGCUGUUUUCGGCAACCUUAAAUCUGCUGAAGGAAAACAAACAUUGGAUAUGUGAUCCAUGUCGCAAGUUCUCUCUAUUGCACCACUACUUCUUUCAUUCUGGGCACUUCGCCGGAGAGCCACCGCCGGCGAGUUUCCGGUCAUCUUCUCCAGCUUAUGUUUUAUUCAACUGAUUUUUUUAGAAAGCUUGCAAUUGGCCCUUUUCCACUCAAUCCAAACCAAACAACUAAAAAAGAAAAUAAAAACAUUACAUUUGUAUUUUUACUUAUUCAUAUAGAUAUGAUUCCACAAUUCAUUUAUCUUGUUUUUUAACUAUAAUUUUGUUUUUGUGUUAUUCUAAUUUUCUGAUUUCUGCAGUAAAUGUUGAAGGUCUUAUCUUAUCCUUGAAGAUGAUUUUAUUGUCUGGGUCGUAUGGCAGGAAUGGAAGCAGAAAGAAGCAAGUGAAUGACAUUGAGAGGUUAAUGACAAUGAAAAAAAUAUAUAGUGUAGACAACUUAUAGUAAGAUCAUUAUUUCCUUUCAAUCCAAUGAUUCAAAAAAAAUUUCCUACAGUGGGAAAGGAUUAACCUUUCCCAUGUAAAAUGCCACCUUACCAUAAUUUAAAUUUCCACUAUGAGUUUUAGGAUAGAAAGAAUAAACUAGCAAUCCAAUUGGAUAAUUUCAUUUCAUGACGCCUAGAAUAAAUCUAGCAGUUCACACAUCCACUGGUACAUAGGCUUUGGAAGGUUAAUUACAAUAUUUACCAAAAAUUUUAAUUGUCAUUUAGUUUUUUUUUUUUUUUUUAAGAAUAUAGAUAGGAUAUGCAAAAUUUUGUAGCACUCUAACU